rnacentral:rRNA from 1 species
CCUACGUGAGGCAGCAGUGGGGAAUAUUGCACAAUGGGGGAAACCCUGAUGCAGCAACGCCGCGUGAGUGAGGAAGUAUUUCGGUAUGUAAAGCUCUAUCAGCAGGGAAUAAAAAAGAAGGUACCUGAAAAAUAAGCCCCGGCUAACUACGGGCCAUCAGCCGCGUUAAUACGUAGGGGGCAAGCGUUAUCCGGAUUUACUGUGGUGAAAGGGAGCGUAGACGGAAAGGCAAGUCAGAAGUGAAAGCCCAAGGCUCAACCAUGGGACUGCUUUUGAAACUGGCAAACUAGAGUACGGGAGAGGUAAGAGGAAGUCCUAGUGUAGCGGUGAAAUGCGUAGAUAUUAGGAGGAACACCAGUGGCGAAGGCGUCUUACUGGACCGAAACUGACGUUGAGGCUCGAAAGCGUGGGGAGCAAACAGGAUUAGAUACCCUUGUAGUC